UGGGAAUCUUGCACAAUGGGCGAAAGCCUGAUGCAGCAACGCCGCGUGCGGGAAGACAGCCCUAGGGUUGUAAACCGCUUUCAGCAGGGAAGAAACUGACGGUACCUGCAGAAGAAGAUGCGGCCAACUACGUGCCAGCAGCCGCGGUGACACGUAGGCAUCAAGCGUUAUCCGGAUUUAUUGGGCGUAAAGAGCUCGUAGGCGGUUCGGUAAGUCGGGUGUGAAAACUCUGGGCUCAACCCAGAGAGGCCACUCGAUACUGCUGUGACUAGAGUGCGGUAGGGGAGCGGGGAAUUCCUGGUGUGAGCGGUAGAAUGCGCAGAUAUCAGGAGGAACACCAGUGGCGAAGGCGCCGCUCUGGGCCGUAACUGACGCUGAGGAGCGAAAGCAUGGGUAGCAAACAGGAUUAGAUA
rnacentral:rRNA from 1 species